GGCCCCAUAGUGUAGUGGAAGCACAUUUGAACUUAGCUCAAAAGUCGUGGGCUCGAAACCCACUGGGGCUA
rfam:Selaginella moellendorffii unplaced genomic scaffold SELMOscaffold_100, whole genome shotgun sequence.